rnacentral:rRNA from 2 species
AUGGUUAAGUUAGAAAGGGCGCACGGUGAAUGCCUUGGCACUAGGAGCCGAUGAAGGACGGGACUAACACCGAUAUGCUUCGGGGAGCUGUAAGUGAGCUUUGAUCCGGAGAUUUCCGAAUGGGGAAACCCACUGUUCGUAAUGGAACAGUAUCUUUAUCUGAAUACAUAGGAUAUUGAAGGCAGACCCGGGGAACUGAAACAUCUAAGUACCCGGAGGAAGAGAAAGCAAAUGCGAUUUCCUGAGUAGCGGCGAGCGAAACGGAAUUAGCCCAAACCAAGAGGCUUGCCUCUUGGGGUUGUAGGACACUCUAUACGGAGUUACAAAGGAACGAAGUAAAUGAAGCGACCUGGAAAGGUCCGUCGAAGAAGGUAACAACCCUGUAGUUGAAACUUCGUUCCCUCUUGAGUGGAUCCUGAGUACGGCGGAACACGUGAAAUUCCGUCGGAAGCUGGGAGGACCAUCUCCCAAGGCUAAAUACUACCUAGUGACCGAUAGUGAACCAGUACCGUGAGGGAAAGGUGAAAAGCACCCCGGAAGGGGAGUGAAAGAGAUCCUGAAACCGUGUGCCUACAAGUAGUCAGAGCCCGUUAACGGGUGAUGGCGUGCCUUUUGUAGAAUGAACCGGCGAGUUACGAUCCCAUGCAAGGUUAAGCUGAUAAGGCGGAGCCGUAGCGAAAGCGAGUCUGAAUAGGGCGUUUAGUAUGUGGUUGUAGACCCGAAACCAGGUGAUCUACCCAUGUCCAGGGUGAAGUUCAGGUAACACUGAAUGGAGGCCCGAACCCACGCACGUUGAAAAGUGCGGGGAUGAGGUGUGGGUAGCGGAGAAAUUCCAAUCGAACCUGGAGAUAGCUGGUUCUCUCCGAAAUAGCUUUAGGGCUAGCCUCAUGUUGUGAGAGUCUUGGAGGUAGAGCACUGAUUGGACUAGGGGCCCCCAACGGGUUACCGAAUUCAGUCAAACUCCGAAUGCCAAAGACUUAUCCAUGGGAGUCAGACUGCGAGUGAUAAGAUCCGUAGUCAAAAGGGAAACAGCCCAGACCACCAGCUAAGGUCCCCAAGUAUACGUUAAGUGGAAAAGGAUGUGGAGUUGCUUAGACAACCAGGAUGUUGGCUUAGAAGCAGCCACCAUUUAAAGAGUGCGUAAUAGCUCACUGGUCGAGUGACUCUGCGCCGAAAAUGUACCGGGGCUAAACGUAUCACCGAAGCUGUGGAUUGACAUCUUUGAUGUCAGUGGUAGGAGAGCGUUCUAAGUGCUGUGAAGUCAGACCGUAAGGACUGGUGGAGCGCUUAGAAGUGAGAAUGCCGGUAUGAGUAGCGAAAGACAAGUGAGAAUCUUGUCCACCGAAUGCCUAAGGUUUCCUGAGGAAGGCUCGUCCGCUCAGGGUUAGUCGGGACCUAAGCCGAGGCUGAAAAGCGUAGGCGAUGGCCAACAGGUUGAUAUUCCUGUACCACCUCCCCGCCGUUUGAGUAAUGGGGGGACGCAGUAGGAUAGGGUAAGCGCGCUGCUGGAUAUGCGCGUUCAAGCAGUUAGGCUGAUGAGUAGGCAAAUCCGCUCAUCAUAAAGGCUGAGCUGUGAUGACGAGGGAAUUAUAGUACCGAAGUUCCUGAUUCCACACUGCCAAGAAAAGCCUCUAGCGAGGCGGGAGGUGCCCGUACCGCAAACCGACACAGGUAGGCGAGGAGAGAAUCCUAAGGUGAUCGAGAGAACUCUCGUUAAGGAACUCGGCAAAAUGACCCCGUAACUUCGGGAGAAGGGGUGCUCUGGUAGGGUGUAUAGCCCGAGAGAGCCGCAGUGAAUAGGCCCAGGCGACUGUUUAGCAAAAACACAGGUCUCUGCGAAGCCGCAAGGCGAAGUAUAGGGGCUGACGCCUGCCCGGUGCUGGAAGGUUAAGAGGAGGGGUUAUCCUUUGGGAGAAGCUCUGAAUCGAAGCCCCAGUAAACGGCGGCCGUAACUAUAACGGUCCUAAGGUAGCGAAAUUCCUUGUCGGGUAAGUUCCGACCCGCACGAAAGGCGUAACGAUCUGGGCACUGUCUCAACGAGAGACUCGGUGAAAUUAUAGUACCUGUGAAGAUGCAGGUUACCCGCGACAGGACGGAAAGACCCCGUGGAGCUUUACUGUAGCCUGAUAUUGAAUUUUGGUACAGCUUGUACAGGAUAGGUAGGAGCCUGAGAAGCCGGAGCGCUAGCUUCGGUGGAGGCGUCGGUGGGAUACUACCCUGGCUGUAUUGAAAUUCUAACCCGCGGCCCUGAUCGGGCCGGGAGACAGUGUCAGGUGGGCAGUUUGACUGGGGCGGUCGCCUCCUAAAAUGUAACGGAGGCGCCCAAAGG